UACGGAGGGGGCUAGCGUUGUUCGGAAUGAUUGGGCGUAAAGCGUCCGCAGGUGGCUAUGUAAGUCUGCUGUUAAAUAGUCUAGCUCAACUAGAUAAAGGCAGUGGAAACUACAUGGCUAGAGUGCGUUCGGGGCAGAGGGAAUUCCUGGUGUAGCGGUGAAAUGCGUAGAGAUCAGGAAGAACACCGGUGGCGAAAGCGCUCUGCUAGGCCGCAACUGACACUGAGGGACGAAAGCUAGGGGAGCGAAUGGG
rnacentral:rRNA from 1 species